GCGGUCGUAGCUCAGUUGGUAGAGCGCCAGGUUGUGGUCUUGGAUGCCGUGGGUUCGAGCCCCAUCGAUCGCCCCA
rnacentral:tRNA from 2 species